GAGGGGAGCCGCGAGGGCCCCUUUGGCGGAAGUAAAAUAAAUACUCAAAGCGACUUCCACUAUGCUCGGCGUAGCGGCGCCUUGUCAUCGCACUCUCCCCUUUUCGCCGAGGAGAAAGAGGACUGUGCACCCCCUUUCCCAGAGUAAUAACAACGAGACGGCUUUGUGGCCGGAAGCAACAUUCGGCUUCCAAACAUUCCGGGGUCCGGCGAUUAUCUCUGCGGGUCUCGGCUCUGCUGCGCGCCGGUUUUCGCUGUGAAAGACGGUGCUCGUUGAGCUGGUUUGGUUUAGGUCGAAGCGGCGGCUUUUUGGCAGAGCGUUGAGCAUGGCUCCGACUCGUUGGGGCAUCGUGGCCGCCGGCCGCAUCUGCAACGACUUCGUCGACAGCCUUAACAACCUGCCGAGGGAUGAGCACCAGGUCGUGGCUGUCGCUGGAAGAAACUUCGAGAAUGCGAAGAAGUUCGCCGAGCUGCACCACAUCAACAAAGCAUAUUCGACUUAUGAGGAGCUGGCAAGGGACCCAGAUGUGGAGGUGGCGUACGUUGGCUCCCUUCACCCGGACCACUACCCGACUAUCAAGCUACUCCUGGAGAAUGGCAAGCAUAUUCUCUGUGAGAAACCCCUCACCAUGAACAGACGGGACACCGAAGACGUCUGCCGGAUAGCCAAGGAGAAGAAGCUCUUCCUUAUGGAGGCCCUGUGGAGCCGCUUCCUGCCUUCGUACAAGCACAUGGAGGAGCUCCUCAGGAGCGGAACCAUAGGAGAAGUGCGUUAUGUGCACUCUACAUUUGGCUACCCUAUGGACAAACUGAACCGCGUGUUCAUCAAGAAGCUCGGUGGAUCGGUUUUGCUUACCCUGGGAAACUACUGUGCCAACAUCGUCCUCCAGGUUUUCGGUGCUGAGCGACCGGUCAAGAUCAGCGCAUGCGGGGAUCUAGCACCCGAAGGCGUUGACCAGGCCGUCGCUGUGGCAAUGGAAUUUAAAGGAGGCCGACUUGCGACAUUUGCGUUGUCAGGCGUUGUCAAGUUGCGAGGAACCGCAGAGAUCACUGGGACAAAAGGCACGAUCACCCUGCACCCACCGUUUCAUGCGCCAACCUGCGUCGAGUCGCCAGCCGGAAAGGUCGAGUUCCAGCUUCCACCAACUUCCGUGCCUCACAACUUCCCCAACACAGCUGGCUUGCGAUACCAGGCAGAAGAAGUAAGGAGGUGUUUACGUGAAGUUGCGCUUCUGUGCUGGGACCACGGUGUCCCAAAUUGCGGGGAUUACACUUAGCAUGCCGUCAACUCUCAUAGAGGCAUCGAUCGACACAUUCUAGCACUGCACAAAGCCUUCUUGAAAGCCCUAAGAUGACACAUCAGGAUUCAUUGCUGAUUGCAGAAAUGCUGGAUGAAAUCUUGAAGCAAGUCGGUGUAGAGUAUUAAGAUAGUGGCAGCAUACAUCAAGGAAUGCUCUAUUCCAUAAUUUUCUGAUUGGUGACACUUAAUUGUUGAAUUUCAAGGAUUUGUAUACCUAUUUUUUUGGCCUUCUUGCUUUUCGAUAAGGUAACCUUCGAGGCUUGCAUUUCACUUUUGCUUUUGCUGUAAACGUUGACCAUGAUUAAGCGCUGACUGUGCUGCUGACAAGCUUGCGUAUGUUCAAAAGGUUCAGCAGAACAUGCCAUUCACUAAUAUUACCAGUCGCCUCGAAUGCUUCAACUUCAUAAAACCAACAGUUUGAUCAUGGGCUUCAAAAGUAAUUAGGCUGGAGUAACCGAAGCUUACAUAAUAAAAAUGUAUUGAAAAUGCACAGUGUUGAAUUGGGCAAUGUUUAAGUAGUUUCAAAUUUGGAAUUAAGAGAUGUACAAUAAAACCGGCAACAAAAAUGAACUUCUGCGGCUUUCAUAUGAUUUGAGUUCAUCUAAAUUUGCAAAAGUUCAGGGUAUUUAGAUUUUUACUUCUAUUGUAUUGUUAUCUCGGGACAUUUGAUUUCUUGGAUUUUAAUGUCACGUUUCGUAUAUGGACGAAUUUUCAAAUAUACAGUUACUUGAUGUUCAUAGCUAUGCAUAUCUAACAUACAAGUUUGUGACGAAACCGAGCAUUCUAUAUAUAUCUUUAUUUCUAAUACAAUAUAAAGAAACAUCGAAAGGUUUAUUUUUUUCCUACAGUGAACGUUGUCGUGUAAGGAGACAGCGUGAUAAUAAAAAUUGUUCGCUGCCUUGAAACGCCUAUUAGGUGCCGGACAAUACAAUCUUCUAUUGUUUAGGUGGUCAUUUAUAUUGAAAAUUAGGCCCUGCCGUAGCAUAUUUGGCAGCACACUAUUGCAGUGAUGCUGACGCCAUCAGCCGCAGUCACAUUAGUCCGACAACAUAAGACUGUUGAUUGAGAUACAAGUUUCGCUGAUGUGCUGAAGAUGACAAGACUUCUGAGACAAGAGCUCCCUCCAGAAUGCAAAAGAAACUCUUCUGCCAUCUUCUAGUUAAUUGAAGAGCUGCUAAAGCUACACGUAAAAAAAAGGUAAAUGAGAUCGGCGGCGGUACGUUAUGCAACUUCGCGCAAUGCAUUGAAUACUGUAUACAUUUUAAUAACAGCCCCAGAUUUGUUGGGAGACCUAAAUUAUCUUAGUAUAUAAAAAAUCAUCCACUUUUAUCGGAUGCUAACUAUCGAUUUUAUAUUUAAGGAUGUAAUAUCGAAAGUUUUUUUAUUAUUCUAACCACAGUAACCACGGUCCAUCAAAAGUGUUUCGGUUAAUUUAACCCACACUAUUGCAUUCACCAGUACUGACCAAGGCUAAAUGGCUUACUUUCUUGAGUUCACAUGUUUAUUGAGAAACAAACUAAUUAAAAAAUGAUAAAAUUUUCUUUCCUUUAGUUACAUACCUUUAGCUAUCGCAGCCUUGACAUUUUAAAGUUCCAGUUUAAAUGAAUUUAUGCAAACGCAGUUUCUAUAAAGCAAAGCUUUUUUUUGCCUAUUCCCUGUGAUUUGGCGUUCGUCGUCGUUUCCUCGCCGGAUAUAUUUGUGGAUGUAUAUCAAUAACUAGGGCCACUGGCUAUGUGCUGGCUACUGUCUCGCAGAGCAGAACAUUUGGGCCACUGGAUAUUUGUUAUUGGAUAUGUGCCCGAACAGAAAACAUGGGCAUUGGGUGGGUAUAUGCUACUGGGUACAUGCUACAGCGUUUGUGCCCAUUCCGGCCCAAUACCGCGGAAUGUAGGUGACACUGUGGCACAAGGGUUACGAAGCCGUAAAUGUAUUUAAAUAUCUGUCGCAGCGCUAUGUGCCAUACACAUCUCACGAACACACCUUCCUAGACAAGCAUCGAACGUCGCCUUCCUCCUCGGGAAGCUCAUAGGUAACAGAAACAGGCGACGAGGGCGUGCCAAUGUCACCUGGCAGGCAUCGCUGCUACCUCUCUAACUCAAACAACCAUGGCGUCACAUAGAUUCUAACGUAGCGUUGUAUUUGUGUUUCUUAUUGUUCAUUUCACAUCCGAACAUUGUUCAUUCCACAUCCGAACAUUGUUCAUUUCACAUCCGGACGUUCACUCAUUUGCCAUUGAGUGAUUGUUUCUGCACUUUAAUGCAAUGUUUCAACCAGUCCUUCAAUAAACCCAGCGGGGCUGUGGUAUGUAUGUAUGUAUGUAUGUAUGUAUGUAUGUAUGUAUGUAUGUAUGUAUGUAUGUAUGUAUGUAUGUAUGUAUGUAUGUAUGUAUGUAUGUAUGUGUGUAUGUAUGUAUGUAUGUAUGUAUGUAUGUAUGUAUGUAUGUAUGUAUGUAUGUAUGUAUGUAUGUAUGUAUGUAUGUAUGUAUGUAUGUAUGUAUGUAUGUAUGUAUGUAUGUGCAUGCAUGUAUAUAUAUAUAUAUGCACACGAUUCAAUUGUGCACGUAUAGACGAGGCAACCUAAAGUUUGCCCGCGCGGCACCAGCGCCGAAUGCUCCCCUAGCGGACCGAUGGAAGUUUGGAGGGUCGUCGCUGCGCUAGCGCGCGCCUGUGUUCUGUACGGCGGGAGCGCUCGUGCGCGUGGUUUUUGCGAGGCCGAGUGCGGCCUCAUCAGCCAGGAAAGGUGGCACGCAAUACUGAUGUGUUGUUGAUUGCCACAUCAGCCUCGAAAACACGAAAGGUCCUACGCCGCCCGUGAAGUUCUGCAGAUUUCCUGGGAAGUGGUACGAGAAGGACAGACGACAAGCAUAGAUAACUGCAGUGCGCCGAGUCAAGUAAGUCUCAUACUUUCGCAUUCGCGUGUAAUAUCUUGAAAGCGGAAUAGUCAUAUGCCUGUUUUUAGUGCACGGCCGUUUGUUUAGUCGUGUCGCGUUGUUGAAUUGUGGUGGCAUCCGCCGUUUGUUAGCGGUAAAUGCAGGCGUGUUGCGCCGCUAAGCUCUACGACGCGUGCUCGAUUCCCAGCCACGGCGGCCGCAUUUCGAUAGGGGCAAAAUGCAAGAACACCCUUGUUACCGUUUGCUUUGAUUUUUGUGCACGUUAAACAACCCCCAGAGCUUAAAGUUAUUCCUGAGACUCCCCAUUACAGCGGGCUUCAUAUUGAUUUCGUGGUUUUGGCACGGUUUUGGCACUUGGAACCUCCGAAUUUAUUUGAUUGCACUGUGCCUUCCCUCGCGAUUGGCAUGGACGAGCUCAAGAUAAUUAUUUCCAUUUUCCAAACGCUGCAACUUAAAUUACUAGUUGUGCAGGUAACGAAAGGGGCCGCGCGCUACUUGUGUGUGGUAUCAGACCGUAUUUAAUGCAAGCCGCGGUCGUCUCGUGCGUCGGGAAGCGGCAGAUCGGAAAGCAGCCGCUCGAGACGUGCGCGUUAUGUUUGUUGUUUUCCCAUGCUUUCUAUGUAUCUAAGUGUGCAAGUAUCGUAACUUGUAGUGGUAGCACUCUUGUAGAAUAAUAUAUGCACACUAUCACAGGAACGUUACCUUUGCAAACAUAUUAUUGGGAGUAUUUAAUCCCCACAACAAAUAGGCACACAUACUGUUUCAUUCAUAUGCGAUGCAGAUGGAAGCGGCGCCAAACAGACCAAUGGCAAUCACAACAGUCUUCUCAGCAGUCAGCACCACCGGGACAUGUGCUUUCCUACUGCAGCGACGCAGCUCUUGAGCAGCGGCAAGACACGUGUGAAACAGACUCCAGAACAAGCCUUUGUGAAGUGACGGAACCGUCAAGAAGCAGCCCAAUGGAUCUGCAGUCAUCGAGUAGUAUGACAACAGAAGUUCCUGCUGCCAGUGUGACUUAUGUUGUAAUUGAAAUAAAUGUGGCUAAAUUUCUGAA